CUUAUCCGAUCCUGCGUCGCGGCCGCUUCCUGGUCGGCGAAUACAACGAAGACAUCGGCGU
rnacentral:misc_RNA from 1 species